CCACACAAAAUUUCUCGCCUUCCCAAAUCGAAACCGACGGGAUCUCCGACUUCAGUCUUCUUUUCUUCCUCGCCUCUCUCUCUUCCCCACUCCUCCCCCUUAUCUGUUCAACUCCGCCUGAUUUCGUAACAGCCGAGUCGAAGUGACUCUCGACGCCUCAAUUCCAUUGGAUAGAGUAAAAUGAGUGUUUGUCUCGCGUGUUCUCUCUCCUGCGACUGCAACGGUGACGACGGCGGCUCUCUUGAAGUCAUUGUCGCCGUGUUUUCCGGUAAGACUGAAAACCAACCCCGACUCUAGCAUGUUGAGGUUAAUUUGGAGAAACUCCAUUUGGGGAUGAUGUGGUCCUUGACAGAGGAUUGUCAUUUCCUGUCCUUGAAGCAAGGUUUCGAUUGCUAGAACUUGCAAUUGUAUAUACGCUUUGAUUCAACAGAGACAACGAGAUGUGGAAUUCAGAGAAUCUUCUAAUGAUCAGAGACAAAGACGUUUUUCUGACAUGGUGAGACUUGAGGCAAAAGUUGAAAGGCUUGAGACUCAAUUGCAAGCCAAAGAUAGGGAACUUGGUUCUCUCACAAGAACAGAAGCUAGGAAUACAACGGCUUUAAAGGCGCAGAACGAGAAGCUACAGAAAGAGAGAGAUGAGUUUCAACGGAUGGUGAUUGCUAACCAGCAACUCAAGACCCAACAGUUACAUGAAACGAAGAAGAAAGAAAAGGAGUAUAUAAAGUUACAGGAGAGGUUAAACCAAGUGUUAUGGAGAAAAAGAAGGAAACAAGAUUAGGCAUGGAGAUUAUGAAUCUACUCCAGUCAUUUUCUAGCAUUGUGCUAUGCUUAUUAUGAUCUGUUGAGCAUUUUCAAGGAAAGAACUGGAAGAAAAUAGGACCGCCUAAUUGCCGAUUGAUUUAAGGAUCAGACUGAUGCCCUGUUUCUUUCUCAUUGAUGGCAAAAGGUCUUGAACCUGGAGCUUUUGAAAGGACCGUGGUCAAAAGAGGUAUUAUUGUGCUCAUCACAAGCUGCUUGAUCUGACAAAUGUUUGUAACAACCUCCCUCAUCUCUCUGUAUCUUUGGUUUGUUGGCAUUGACAAAGAAAUCAAAAGAAGAAUUUUUCACUUCAUUGUGUCACAAGUGAUGAGUUUUCAAAAAUUUAUGCUCUCCAAUGUUUGUGUUAUAUCGGUUAAGUUUUUGUUACUUUGUUUAUGUUCUGUCUUAAGUUUUUCUUUGUCUAUGUUCUUGUCAAUGUGUUCUUGUUUGUUUAUGUUCAGUCUCUAGCUUCUUUCGAUUAUGUUUUGUUCUGCGGUUAAGUUUUAUGUUAAGUGUAAUGCAUUUAUGUUAUUGCUUUUGGAUCCAAAUUCAUAAUAUAAAACUGCUUUUGUUUCUGGGAAUGUUU